AUACGGAGGACGCGAGCGUUAUCCGGAUUCAUUGGGUUUAAAGGGUGCGCAGGCGGCCGUGCAAGUCAGCGGUGAAAGCCCGGGGCUCAACCCCGGAAGUGCCGUUGAUACUACAUGGCUGGAAUGCGGUCGAGGCGGGCGGGACGUGGCGUGUAGCGGUGGAAUGCGUAGAUAUGCCACAGAACGCCGAUAGCGGAGGCAGCUCGCCAGGCCUGCAUUGACGCUCGGGCACGAAAGUGCGGGGAUCGAACAGGAUUAGAUACCCUGGUAGUCCGCACAGUAAACGAUGAAUACUUGUUUUCGGCGAUAUAAUGUCGGAGGCAAAGCGAAAGCGAUAAGUAUUCCACCUGGGGAGUACGCCGGCAACGGUGAAACUCAAAUGAAUUGACGGGG
rnacentral:rRNA from 1 species